GUGUAUUUGGAAAUAUCCCUAAUACAGGAUCACUUGGAUCCGUCGGCGAUGACGAGCGCGAAAGAAUGCGAAAAGUCCUCACGGAAUGCUCUAAUUAUGAGAUAAUCUCAUGGAUACUCCCUGGACUUAAGCAUAUCAUUAAGGGAAGGAAAAGAAACUAACUAGGAUUCCGUUAGUAGUGGCGAAUGAACACGGAAGAGCUCCAAUGGUAAAGCCUAAGUGCUGUUGUAAUGUAGCCUCCGAAAACAUUCUGGAAAGGAUGACCACAGUGGGUGAUAGUCCCAGAGGAGGAUGUAAAGAAUAGAGUAGUGCUGCUUGGUAGUGCAGUAUGAAGAGGAGGUAGAAACUUCUAAAGCUAAAUACAGACGGAUACCGAUAGAGAAGAAGUAGUGCGAACGAAAGUUGAAAAGAUCUCAUCUAGAGAAUGAAAAGUGAAAGUAUUAGGGCGUAAGCUGAUGACAUCAGACCCGUAUUGAAACACGGACCAAGGAGACUUUGAGUAUAGCGAGGCGAAGGAUGUGAAGUCCCCACCCGCGAGAAAUCUACAAGUUAUACUGAUAGGACCCGAAAGGCAGUGAACUAUACCUGCUCUGCUUGACGCCACGGCAAACCGUGGUUGAGGAGCUAAGUCGUAUUGAUGUUCAACUCAUGACAGAAGUGGUAUAGGGGGGAAGACCAUCGACUGCCUGGUACUGGUCCGGCGAAUGCUCUCAGAAACGUGCUG
rnacentral:ncRNA from 1 species